UACGGAGGGGGCUAGCGUUGUUCGGAAUUACUGGGCGUAAAGCGCACGUAGGCGGCUUUGUAAGUUAGAGGUGAAAGCCCGGGGCUCAACUCCGGAAUUGCCUUUAAGACUGCAUCGCUAGAAUUGUGGAGAGGUAAGUGGAAUUCCGAGUGUAGAGGUGAAAUUCGUAGAUAUUCGGAAGAACACCAGUGGCGAAGGCGACUCGCUGGACAAGUAUUGACGCUGAGGUGGCGAAAGCGUGGGGAGCAACAGG
rnacentral:rRNA from 1 species